rnacentral:rRNA from 1 species
AGUGAACGCUGGCGGCAGGCCUAACACAUGCAAGUCGAACGGCAGCACAAUAGGGCUUGCUCUCUGGGUGGCGCGUGUCGCACGGGUGUGGGAUGCACCGCAAUCUCCCCAUUUUUGUGGGGUAACCCCUGGAAACCGGGACUAUUACCCCAUACGCCCUACGCGUGAAAGCACGGGAUCUUCUGACCUUUCGCAGAUUUGUGUGCCGCUGUCGGAUUAGCUAGUUGGAGGGGUAAAGGCCCACCAAGGCGACGAUCCGUAGCUGGUCUGAGAGGAUGAUCAGCCACACUGGGAAUGAGACACGGGCCAGACUCAUACGGGAGGCAGAAGUGGGGAAUAUUGGACAAUGGGCGCAAGCCUGAUCCAGCCAUGCCGCGUGGGUGAAGAAGGCCUUCGGGUUGUAAAGCACUUUUGUUGGGAAAGAAAAGCAGCAGGUUAAUACCCGGUUGUCAUGACGGUACCCAAAGAAUAAGCACCGGCUAACUUCGUG